UACGUAGGUCCCAAGCGUUAUCCGGAGUUACUGGGCGUAAAGUGUCUGUAGCUGGUUUUGUAAGUCUUUUUUCAAAUACUCUGACUCAAUCAGAGAAAGGGAAAGGAUACUGCAUUACUAGAGAAAUUCAGAGGUUAAUGGAAUUCCUGGUGGAGCGGUGAAAUGUGUUGAUAUCAGGAGGAACGCCAAAAGCGAAAGCAGUUAACUAUGAAUUUUCUGACAGUGAGAGACGAAAGCUUGGGUAGCAAACGGG
rnacentral:rRNA from 1 species